rnacentral:rRNA from 1 species
GGGGGGGGGGGGGGGGGGGGCGGGGGCGGGGGGGGCGGGCGGGGGGUUGGGGGCUGGUGGCGCCCGGGGGCGUGACGCGUGGGGACCUGCCCUUAGGUUCGGGGUAACUCGCCGAGAGGGGUGCUAAUACCGGAUAAUGUCUUCGGGCCAAAGAUUUAUCGCCUUUGGAUGGGCCCGCGUUGGAUUAGCUAGUUGGUCGGGUAAAAGCCUACCAAGGCGCCGAUCCAUAGCUGGUCUGAGAGGAUGAUCAGCCACACUGGGACUGAGACACGGCCCAGACUCCUACGGGAGGCAGCAGUGGGGAAUAGUGGACAAUGGGCGAAAGCCUGAUCCAGCAAUGCCGCGUGAGUGAUGAAGGCCUUAGGGUUGUAAAGCUCUUUUACCCGGGAUGAUAAUGACAGUACCGGGAGAAUAAGCUCCGGCUAACUCCGUG